rnacentral:rRNA from 1 species
UACGAAGGGGACUAGCGUUGUUCGGAAUCACUGGGCGUAAAGCGCACGUAGGCGGAUUUGUAAGUCAGGGGUGAAAUCCUGGAGCUCAACUCCAGAACUGCCUUUGAUACUGGCGACCUUGAGUCCGGGAGAGGUGAGUGGAACUGCGAGUGUAGAGGUGAAAUUCGUAGAUAUUCGCAAGAACACCAGUGGCGAAGGCGGCUCACUGGCCCGGUACUGACGCUGAGGUGCGAAAGCGUGGGGAGCAAACAGG